rnacentral:tRNA from 1 species
GCCGUCAUAGCUCAGUUGGUAGAGCGUCUGUUUUGUAAUCAGAGGGUCCGGGGUUCAAAUCCUCGUGUCGGCA